UCUCACCCAUUCCAGUCGUCUUCAGCUCCCCUUUGCUUACUCUCUCACCCCGACUCCGACGACCAACCACUGGUGGUUGCCAGCGACAGCGACAACCAUUCUCCUUCGUCUUCCUUUCUCGGCCACUCUCUCAGUAUCAUCUGCUGCUCGUUCUCUAACUCUCUCCUCUCUCUGACAUAACAGGACCCAAAUUGGGGAAAGAGAGAUUCGGUUUUCUAUCGAGUUCUUCAGGCAAAACAAGGAAUGGUCUCUUUGUGUUCGGUUAGGUCCACUAAUAUAGAGAAAAAGGUCCAACUUGCUUGGCCAGCAAAUAACUUGUGUGAAUCCAUUUCUGUCUUUUGCAGGUCAAUCAUGGUAUUCAUUAUAUCACCACCUAUAUUUCCAGGUGUUGUUACAAAUAUAUACGGUUCUUGAUAUGUCUACUGGAAUGGAUUACAAAAUGAAAAGUGGUGAUGCAGCUGGAGCUUUAAAGAUUGAACCUAUUCAAAGGGCUAGUUUCUUCUACGUUGCCUAUUAUUGAUGCUACAGAUUUUGUAGCAAACAACUCCAAUUCAAUAUUUUUAGUUUUGAUAUUAUCUUUUUCAAGCUACAAUUGGGAUGUAUUGUAGGUUACUGUGGACAUGUUAAUGUAAAAACUACCCAUAUUUGAAUUAUAAGAAUUUUUUUUUCA